AGUGGCGGACGGGUGAGUAACGCGUGGGUAACCUGCCUCAUACAGGGGGAUAACAGUUAGAAAUGACUGCUAAUACCGCAUAAGGCCACAGCACCGCAUGGUGCAGGGGUAAAAACUCCGGUGGUAUGAGAUGGACCCGCGUCUGAUUAGGUAGUUGGUGGGGUAACGGCCUACCAAGCCGACGAUCAGUAGCCGACCUGAGAGGGUGACCGGCCACAUUGGGACUGAGACACGGCCCAA
rnacentral:rRNA from 1 species